rnacentral:rRNA from 1 species
AUUGAACGCUGGCGGCAUGCUUUACACAUGCAAGUCGAACGGCAGCGCGGGCUUCGGCCUGGCUGCGAGUGGCGAACGGGUGAGUAAUGCAUCGGAACAUGCCCAGUAGUGGUGGCUAGCCCGGCGAAAGCCGGAUUAAUACCCCAUACGACCUGAGGGUGAAAGCGGGGGAGCGAAAGGCCUCGCGCUCUUGGAGCGGCCGAUGUCGGAUUAGCUAGUUGGUGGGGUAAAGGCUUACCAAGGCGACGAUCCGUAGCUGGUCUGAGAGGACGACCAGCCACACUGGAACUGAGACACGGCCCAGACUCCUACGGGAGGCAGCAGUGGGGAAUUUUGGACAAUGGGGGCAAGCCUGAUCCAGCCAUGCCGCGUGCGUGAAGAAGGCCUUCGGGUUGUAAAGCGCUUUUGUUGGGAAAGAAAACCAGUAGGCUAAUACCCCGGGGGGAUGACGGUACCGAAAGAAUAAGCACCGGCUAACUACGUG